rnacentral:lncRNA from 1 species
CUGGCUUCCACUUCCGUGGCUCACCAGGAAACUGUGAAGCACAUAUAAAAAUCCACAGGAAGUUGGAAAGAUUUUUUAUUACUAGCCUUGAGGCAAUUCACAUGCUUUUUGCAAAGCUGUUAUAAACUGACAAAUAUACAAGAUGGAUGAUAUUGUAACACACACCUAGAGUGAAAAUGGAGUGCAGAACAAAAUGAUCCACAUCAGAAGGGAAAGAAGUUAGUCAGAGAGGCUGAACAUCUGCAAGACUUUUGAACAGCAUCAGCUCUGGCUGGACAAACUGCAUGCAUUUUGCCUACACAGAAAAAGAUUACUUCUCUUCCAAAUAACCUUGCUCAACCUACAAAAGCUUGCCGUUUUAUUCAUCAGUGAGAGGCAGUUAGUCAAGAUUCUAGCUGCCAUUUGUGACUCAUCCACACCUGUGAAGUGACAUGGGAUAGAGGAUCCCAUUCCAGAUUCCCCCAGGUGCUCCAUGAAACAGCACAGACUCUGGUUUUCCAUCAUCUCAGUUCCGGGGCCUUAAGGCCUCCCCCUUACCUCUCCUCUGAGUUCCUGUGGAAUCCACACUCCAGAGGUGGCCGCCCCACAGCCUGGGGCCUCCCCAGGGAGCUCUCAUUUGGGACUGCCCCAGCUCUGAUGUGUCAGGAGAGGCAUUUGCCUUUAGCCACCUGUUCAUUUGGGGGAAUUCUCCUAUAGGCUCCCUGUGUUCCCAGUUCUACAUUCAAAUCAUUCUGGGUCUUUUGGUCCUUGUGAUAAAACAUGAAACAGCAGAAAUAAACGUUUAACUAUUAAAACAAAGAGACCAAUUAAUUAUUGUUGUGGAAGUAUGUGAUGCUAUAUUAAAAACUAUUUUGGAA